rnacentral:rRNA from 1 species
UACGUAGGGUGCGAGCGUUGUCCGGAAUUAUUGGGCGUAAAGGGCGCGUAGGCGGCUUUUCAAGUGGCGGGUGAAAUCCCUCGGCUUAACCGAGGAACUGCCUGCCAGACUGAAAGGCUCGAGACCGGGAGAGGUGAGUGGAAUUCCCAGUGUAGCGGUGAAAUGCGUAGAUAUUGGGAGGAACACCAGUGGCGAAGGCGGCUCACUGGACCGGAACUGACGCUGAGGCGCGAAAGCGUGGGGAGCAAACAGG